GAGUUUGAUCCUGGCUCAGAUUGAACGCUGGCGGCAUGCCUUACACAUGCAAGUCGAACGGUAACAGGUCUUCGGACGCUGACGAGUGGCGAACGGGUGAGUAAUACAUCGGAACGUGCCCAGUCGUGGGGGAUAACUACUCGAAAGAGUAGCUAAUACCGCAUACGAUCUGAGGAUGAAAGCGGGGGACCUUCGGGCCUCGCGCGAUUGGAGCGGCCGAUGGCAGAUUAGGUAGUUGGUGGGAUAAAAGCUUACCAAGCCGACGAUCUGUAGCUGGUCUGAGAGGACGACCAGCCACACUGGGACUGAGACACGGUCCAGACUCCUACGGGAGGCAGCAGUGGGGAAUUUUGGACAAUGGGCGAAAGCCUGAUCCAGCAAUGCCGCGUGCAGGAUGAAGGCCUUCGGGUUGUAAACUGCUUUUGUACGGAACGAAAAAGCUUCUCCUAAUACGAGAGGCCCAUGACGGUACCGUAAGAAUAAGCACCGGCUAACUACGUGCCAGCAGCCGCGGUAAUACGUAGGGUGCGAGCGUUAAUCGGAAUUACUGGGCGUAAAGCGUGCGCAGGCGGUUAUGUAAGACAGAUGUGAAAUCCCCGGGCUCAACCUGGGAACUGCAUUUGUGACUGCAUGGCUAGAGUACGGUAGAGGGGGAUGGAAUUCCGCGUGUAGCAGUGAAAUGCGUAGAUAUGCGGAGGAACACCGAUGGCGAAGGCAAUCCCCUGGACCUGUACUGACGCUCAUGCACGAAAGCGUGGGGAGCAAACAGGAUUAGAUACCCUGGUAGUC
rnacentral:rRNA from 1 species